rnacentral:lncRNA from 1 species
UAAUAUAAAUAUGGGCUCUUAAUAUGUAGCAGCGCCUUAGGCAACCGCCUAAGUUGUUUAGAGGUUGAGCCGCUCAUGUAUUUAUAUAAGGUGUAUGAUGGAACUUUUGCGUCAAUGGUUGAGAACUCUAAAGGAAACCAAAUAUGAGAGUGGGUAUUUUCGAAUAAGGCGACCGACAUAAAUCGAAUAUAUGUACUCUAAUUAAGUAGAGUAUGAUGAUUCUCGAUGUAAAGCAUUAUGGCUGUUGGCUAGAAUAAGGACAACAUUUUAGCCGAGGUGGCUUAUAAGUCCUUUGUGAGUGUGGUUUAUUGGAGUAAAGAAGAUGGAGAUAGCAUGAUUGUGUGGAUAUAGGGUCAAUAAAUUUGUACUUCUAGUUGAAAAUCUCACCAAGGUAAUGAUUGUUAGGAUAUAUUUCUCAAUUUUUAAAAAAGGUUUGUACCUCAAAUUUGAUAGUACUUACUAGGUAGGCUUCUUUUGCUUGGUAGUUUUCUUGUUUUAGGAGGAUUCUUAUUUAAAAAUGAGAAAUUAUUUGUUAUCCACCUUAAGUUUAUCCCCUUACAAAAAUAAUAUAUUAUAAAAAUUUGAAUUUGUUCAAUUUUUUCAACCUAAGUUUACAAUUUGUAUCAACCGUCCAUCAAAAUAUUAACUGCUGUUUAUAAUUGAUGAUGUCACAAGAUUAAUUUAGACAUUUGAUGACUUGCUCAAAAAAUGAAAUCACAGUUUAAAGUAUUAAAAAGUAUUUCUAAAACCAGUAUUUAGUUAAACACACUUAACACUCAAAUUUCUUCCUUAAUUACAAAAAAUCUACUUUAUCUUCACAAAUUUAAAUAUCAAACUUAAUUAAUUCACAAAUUACCCUAUAUCCUAAUUCAUAAACAUCCAAAAAAUCCAAUCCUUAUUUUUUAUUUCAUAGAUACUUAAUGAAUCCCAACUUGCAAUGUUUCAGCCACCUUUGUUGUUGGUUGUAGCCACGGUUAACACUUCUGCCAACCUCAUGGAUAUCUGCAACUACCAUAAGAUCCCUCAAUGGCUAGUAUUCAUAGUCCAAUGCAUGCUUUUGUCAACUAUUAUCGCAGAUGGUUGAAGGAUUUAGUGAAGAAGGAUUUGAUACUGUUGGAGAAUUAACAAAUAAAACACACAAAAACACACUAUUUUAUUUCUUCAACAACACUCCUCACCAAUUACAACUCUUAUUUUUCACUCUCUACACCUUAGAGAUUUUGCUACUUCACUUGAUGUUUUUAAACCAAAGGGGAGAGGGGGUAUUUAUACAUGAAACAAACUAAUCACAACCAUUCAUUUAUUCAACUAAUAAACAAAUCCUCACCAUCCAUUAAAACCUACCACUCACCUACUUCACCAACUACACCUAACACAAAUAAUUCAAACCUCACCAACCAUACCUACUCAUGGAACCUUCCAUGAGUUGGGCUUGAUUUAUUCAUCUUGGAUCAAGUUUAUGAUCCAACACCUCCCCUUAAACUUGAUCCUGUGACACCAAGUAAACUUUUGAAUCUUAUAAGUCUUCUUGCUUGAGUGGCUUAGUGAAGAUAUCAGCUGCUUGAUCNNNNNNNNNNNNNNNNNNNNNNNNNNNNNNNNNNNNNNNNNNNNNNNNNNNNNNNNNNNNNNNNNNNNNNNNNNNNNNNNNNNNNNNNNNNNNNNNNNNNUACUUCGAUCAUGAAGACUGGAUUCUGGAUAGGCAUUGCUGAUUUGUUAUCAACACAGUCUCGGUGGCUCUUUUUGUGCCAAACUGAGCUCCUUCAGUAAAUUUCUAAGCCAAAUUGCAUGACAAACACUUAAUGUGGCAGCUACAUAUUCAGCUUCACAGGUGGAUAGCGUGACAAUUUGUUGCUUCUUUGACAUCCAUGUGAAAGCAGUAUCUCCCAUGAAGAACACAAAUCUUGUUGUGCUCUUUCAAUCAUCUACAUCUCCACCCCAAUCACUAUCGCUAUAUCCAAUAAGCUUGUAGUCAUUAGAAAAUGAGUAUAACAAGCCGAAAUUAAUUGUACCUUUGAUGUAGCGAAGGAUUCUUUUUGCAGCUUUAAAAUGGGUGGUCUUUGGAUUCUCCAUGUAUCGGCUCACAAGUCCAACAACAUAAAGGAUAUCUGGUCUUGUGCAUGUCAAAUAACGUAAGCUUCCAACCAAACUUUUAAAGAAUGUUGGAUCUAUAUCUUCGCCUUCAUCAUAUUUGGAUAACUUGACUCCGCAUUCCACUGGCGUGCUUAUAGGCUUGCAAUAAUUCAUCUUGAACCUUUUGAGAAUCUCCUUUGCAUAGCUUUCUUGGGAGAUAAAUAUGCCUUCUUCCUUUUGGUUGACUUCAAUGUCGAGGUAAUAUGCCAUCAGUCCGAUGUCAGUCAUCUCGAACUCUUUGAUCAUCACUCUCUUGAACUCUUCAAACAAGCUUGGAUUACUUCCAGUGAAGAUGAGAUCAUCCACAUACAGGCACACAAUCAAAAUAUCUCCAUCUUUUUCUUUGACAUAGAGAGCAUGUUCAUAUGGGCAUUUGGUGAAGCCUUUCUCUUGAAAAUACUUGUCAAUUCUGCUAUUCCAUGCCCUUGGUGCUUGCUUUAACUCGUAAAGAGCUUUCUUCAAUCUCAAAACUUUAUCUUCAUGUCCUUUCACCACAUAGCCUAAUGGUUGUUCGAUAUAAACUUCUUCUUCAAGGAAUCCAUUCAAGAAAGCAGACUUUACAUCCAUUUGAAAAAUCUUCCAUUUGUUCUGAGCAGCCAAAGAAAUAAUAAGUCUAAUAGUUUCAAGUCGAGCUACAGGAGCAAAUACCUCGUCAUAGUCUAUGCCAGCCUUUUGACUAUAGCCUUUUGUAACUAGCCUCGCCUUAUGCCUUUCAAUUUCUCCCUUCGCAUUUCUUUUUGUUUUAUACACCUAUUUGACACUGAUCGCCUUGUCACCUUUUGGAAGAGUAGUAAGCUCCCAAGUAUCAUUCUUCACAAUGGCUUUGAUUUCUUCAUCCAUUGCAAUUCUCCACUUCUCAUCUAGUGCAGCUUCUUGGAAGUUGACUGGCUUACAAUCAGCAAAGAGGCAAAAGAGAGUGAGAUUAUCAUGUCUCUCAGUUACCUCAUAGAGAUCUUGAAGACUCAUUGUACGUUCUUUGGUUCUUUCAUUUAAGAAAGAUGGCGGUGAAUCUCCGCAUGUGGUUGAUGCUGGUGAGAUAGGUGGAGUGGCAGACUCUUGUUGUUCAUCUGCUUGUUUUAUCUGUGUAUGAUCAUCUUCUUCAAUGGGAAAGAAGUUAAAGUCAUCCACACCAGAGCCAAAAUCCCAUUCUCCUUCUUUAUCAAAAACUACAUCUCGACUGAUCAUGAUCUUCCCAUUGUUUGGAUUGUAAAGCUUGUAUCCUUUAGAGUUGUUGUCGUAGCCGAUGAAGAUGAACUUCUCACUUUUGUCAUCCAGCUUGGCUCUAUUUUCGUCUGGUACAUGUACAUGGGCAAUGCUUCCGAAAACUCUUAGAUGGGUGAUGUCGGGUUUUCUUCCACUCUAAGCUUCUUGUGGCGUCUUGCCCCACACGCUUCUUAUUGGAGAUCGAUUGGAUAAGUAGACUGCACAUGCAACAGCUUCAGCCCAAAAUUCUUUAGGUAGCCUCUUACUCUUAAGCAUGCUUCUUGCCAUAUCGAGGAUGGUUCUGUUCUUCCUUUCUGCAACACCAUUUUGUUGGGGGGAUCUUGGAACUGUCAAAGGACGUUGAAUUCCAUUUGCUUCACAAAACUCUAAAAAUUCUUUGGAAGUGAACUCUCCACCUCGAUCAGAUCUCAUGGCUUUAAUCUGGUAUUCACUUUCUUUUUCAACUGCAGCUUUAAACUUUUUGAAAGCUUCAAAGACUUCUGAUUUUUGCUUCAAAAAAUACACCCAAGUUUUUCUUGAAAAAUCAUCUAUGAAGAGAAUGAAAUAGUUACUUUUACCAAGAGAGUUUGGCUUGAAUGGACCGCACACAUCAGUAUGAAUGAGCUCGAGUGGCUUCUGAGCUCUUGAGUUUGACUUCUUUGGAAAGCUCUUUCUGAACUGCUUGCCAAGUAAAUAUCCUUCACAAAGUUGAUCAGGGUGAUUGAUGUAUGGUAAGCCUUUCACCAUGUUCUUCUUAGAUAGUAGCUCCAAUCCUCCAAAGUUGAGAUGCCCAUAUCGAAGAUGCCAAGUCCAGGAUUGAUCUUUGUGACAGGCUUUGAGACAUUUUGCAACAUCAUUUUGAAUAUUUAAUGGAAACAUUCUAUUCUUCGACAUUUUCACCUUUGUAAUUAGAUUUCCUUUGUCAUCUCUUAGGAAAAGACUAUAAUCUUUUAAGUGAAUAUCAUAGCCUUUUUCUAAAAGUUGACCUAAACUAAGAAUAUUGCUUUUCAUAUUGGGCACAUAGUAAACAUUCGAAAUUAUUUGGUGGCUACCAUCUUUUACAUGAAAAAGAAUGUUACCUCUACCCUUCACUGGUACUUUUGAAUCAUCUCCAAAAGCAACACUGCCAUUCACAGAUUCACUUAGUUGUAUGAACAUGCUUCUGUUUCCACUCAUAUGAUUGCUAGCACCUGUGUCAAGAUACCAUGUAUUUUCUUGACCUCCACUUGUGUCAUUGCGUGCUAGUAAAACUAUGCCAUCUUCAAAAUUUUUCUCUUCAGCAUAGUUCACUCUCUCAUCAAUUCUGGUGCUUGGAGCUCUGCAUUCUGAAGCAUAAUGCCCAAACUUUUGACAAUUAUAGCAUUGUACUUGGGAUUUGUCAUACCUCAAUCUUAGAUUGCCUCUGCCUCAUCCUCUGGUUGAGCUUUCUCUUUUAGCAUAAUUGGAGUUGUUGUUGUUGAAAUUCGAACCUGGUCCAUGACCACGACCUCUACCUCGGACAUAGUGCCUUCUCUCGUUGUCGGAGCUUUCUUCUCUUUUCUUUAGAUUGACUUCCAUCUUGAGAAGUUGUUCUUCGAUUCCUUGCUUCUUUUUUUGUUUUUCUUCAUAGGCUUGCAACCUUCCUUGAAGUUGCUCGAUCGUCAUAUCCUUCAGAUCUCUUGUUUCUUCAAUUGUCACAACAAUAUGGUCAAACUUCGAGUCUACUGAUCGACGUAUCUUUUCAAUGAUCCUUACCUCUUUUAACUCCUCGCCAUUUCUUUUUAAUCCAUUGGAAAUGGUCACAACCCGAGUAAAGUAGUCAGAAAUUGACUCCGAUGCCUUCAUGUGUAAGGACUCAAAUUCUCCUCGUAAUGUUUGGAGACGAACCUUCUUAACUUGCUCCGCUCCUUUGUAAGAGGUCUCUAGUUUCUCCCAUACUUCUUUUGAGGAGGUUGUACCAGCAAUCUUUUCAAAAGCAUCUUCAUCUAAUGAUUGAAAGAUAAGAUACUUUGCUUUAUUCUCUUUCUUCUUCAAAUCUUUUAAAUUCUCCUUAUGCGCCGCAGUUAAAGUAGCUUCAUUUUCUGGCACAAUAAAGCCUUUCUCCACAACAUCCCAUACGUCAUGUGCACCCAAUAGAGCCUUCAUUUUAAUACUCCAAUUGUCAAACUUACUUCCCUUUAAUUGUGGAACUUGAAAUGACAUCAUACCACCGUUUGCCAUAACUCACAAAUUGAGUGAGAAUUUGGAGAUUCUGAAAGUACAGAUGGAUCUGGCACGUCGAAAAAUCUUGGGAAGGACUCGAGUCAACUUUUGGUCAACGGUCAAGGGUCAACACUAGUCAACGGUCAACGUCGGUCAACGGUCAACACCGGCUUGGUAGUCUUGGUUCGGUCCAGAUUGGUUCAGCUCGAGUUGGCUCGAUUCGACUUGAUUCGGUUCAGCUCGGCUAGGCUUGGUUCAGUUCGGCUCAGCUUGGUUCAACUCAGUGAGUCGACUCGGCUUCAGGACAGAAAACUUCCGGCGGCAAGUGUCGGCGCGUCCACUCUCGGAUCGAGAUGAUUUUUUUGGCGUCACGUUCCUCUCGUCGAGAUCUUCGAUUUGAUAUGCUAUAUGACUAUAUAUAGCAUUAAACACUAGCUCUGAUACCACUUUGUUGGAGAAUUAACAAAUAAAACACACAAAAACACACUAUUUUAUUUCUUCAACAACACUCCUCACCAAUUACAACUCUUAUUUUUCACUCUCUACACCUUAGAGAUUUUGCUACUUCACUUGAUGUUUUUAAACCAAAGGGGAGAGGGGGUAUUUAUACAUGAAACAAACUAAUCACAAUCAUUCAUUUAUUCAACUAAUAAACAAAUCCUCACCAUCCAUUAAAACCUACCACUCACCUACUUCACCAACCACACCUAACACACCUAACACAAAUAAUUUAAACCUCACCAACCAUACCUACUCAUGGAACCUUCCAUGAGUUGGGCUUGAUUUAUUCAUCUUGGAUCAAGUUUAUGAUCCAACAGAUACAAACUUUGGAUUGAUUUUGUGAACCCUAAAAAUUUAAGGAGAGCGAAGAUAAGGAAUAAGAUAAUGAGAUAUAUUUUAUUUUAUUUUUGGAUUUAUGUAGUCAAUGAAGGAUUUGAUACAAAUUGUGGUUAGUGAUCAAAAUCUUUGGUGAAUCUUAUUUUGAAACAAGGAGCUGGGUUUUUAUUUUUUAUUUUUUUAUUUUAUUACUUAUGGUGCAAAUUUAAAAAUGCCCUUGAAUUCAAGGGUAAAAUGAUCAGUUUAAUUAGAGUAUGUUAAAUAUUCUAACAAUAUUAAUGUUUUGAUGAAUAGUUAAUACAAAUUGCAAACUUAGGGUAGAAAAUUAAAAAAAAAAUUCAAACUUUUAUAGUAUUUUUAAUAAAAGGGAAAAAUCAAGGUGGAUAACUAAUAAUUUUUCUUUAGAGAAUAAGUAGUUCCUUUUUAUAGGAUUUAAAGGAUUACUACUCUUACUAGAAAUAUUUUACUAAUUACUAUAUGUUAGUUUCACUAUUUAUUGACAUUAGUUUUCUGUGCAGGUAAGCAGUUUCCAACUAGUGAGAAACAAUAGGUUUAUUUAGUGAUUUGAGUGUGGCGAAAUACUCAUUAGACCUUAUAUUUUUGGCUUAGUAUCCGUUUAAUCUCUAUAUUUUAUAAAAAUCUCAAGACACCUUUAUUGCUAAAUAUGUGAUACUCAUGCCCAUAUUUCUUUUCUUUUACAAUAAUACACUUACUAAAAUUUUAUAGACAUACAUUAGUUUAUCUAUAAAAAUGUUUAUUAACGAAUUAAUCCAAUAAUUACUUAUUAGCAAAUUAACCAAUCAUAGUUAGUAUGAAAGAAUUGGUAUUUCUCAUACCCUUGCAACAAUCUUGUUAAUAAUUACUUAAAUAAAAAAAAGUAAUUUUCCAAAUUAACCAUAAAACUAAAAUAAUAACAAAACAUUUACAUUUAUUUUUAUAAUAUUUGUAGGGUUAAUUUUUUAAUUAACCUUUUUAUAGAUAAAUUAAUUAAUGUCUCCAAAAAUAUUGUUCCAAGUGUAUUAUUAUAAAAGUAAAGAAAAAGUAGGGGCAUGGCUACAAGAUAUUUAACAACAAGAAUGUCCUGAGGCAUUUUUUAAAAUAUGAUAAUUAAACGGCCACUAAUCCUAAAAUAUAGGAACUAAAUAAGCAUGUCUUUUGAUUGUUAUUAGUUUUUUGGCUAUGCAAAAAAAAAAAAGUAUAUAUAUUAGAGUGUGAUUGUAAUCAUUUUCUCAUGGUGAAUUUUUUUCUCCUCGUCAUCUUUUGCAACCAUAGUUUUUCUCCAAUAUAAGAGUUUCCACGUAAAUUCUUGUGUUAUGUGAUUUUUUUUUCCAUAUAUCUGUUUGGUUGAUUUUAUUCUCCAUACGUAUUUUCUGUUAUUACUUGCUUUAUAUUUUUACCAAUGAGAUCUUAGGAGGAAUUAAAAAUUUCAACAAACCUUUCUGUUGGGGUAAAAUUUUAUUUAGUCCAUAUAUUUUGAAGUUAAUGCUUGUUUAGUUUUUGUAUUUUUAAAAAUACCUCAAAACAUUCCUACUAUUAAAUUAUUGCCAGCCAUGUCAUUACUUUUGUUAUUUUUGACUUGUUUUAAAAAUAUUACACUCUUACAAUACUUAUUUUUGGACAAUAAUUAAAAUUAAAUUAAAUUACCAAUUUAACCCCAAAAAUAAAAUAGAAACAAAAAGAAUAUGUAUUAAUUUUUGUGGAACACUCUAUUGAGGAGUUGAUAUAUUAAUUUUUUUU